rnacentral:rRNA from 1 species
AUACGUAGAGGGCAAGCGUUGUCCGGAAUCAUUGGGCGUAAAGGGUACGCAGGCGGAUAUGCAAGUCAAGUGUGAAAGGUGCCGGCUCAACCGGCGGAGUGCAUUUGAAACUGUAUGUCUUGAGGUCAGCAGAGGAGAGCGGAAUUCCUGGAGUAGCGGUGAAAUGCGUAGAUAUCAGGAAGAACACCAGUAGCGAAAGCGGCUCUCUGGGCUGCACCUGACGCUGAGGUACGAAAGCUGGGGGAGCGAACGGGAUUAGAUACCCCGGUAGUCCCAGCCGUAAACGCUGGACACUAGGUGUUGGUGGUUCGAUUCCAUCAGUGCCGGAGUUAACGCAUUAAGUGUCCCGCCUGGGGAUUACGGUCGCAAGACUGAA